rnacentral:tRNA from 1 species
UCCCUGGUGGCUCAGAGGUUAAAGUGUCUGCCUACAAUGCAGGAGACCCAGGUUCGAUCCCUGGGUCGGGAA